rnacentral:lncRNA from 1 species
AAUUAUUGAGAGAGUUCACAAGAAAACUAGAGAGAGCAUUAGGUUUCUUGGUGAGUGUUCUAAGUGUGUGCAGCACAACUGUUGUUGUGUUAUACUUGGGUAGAUUAGGAGUUGGUCAGUGUCGAGUUGCUUGUUAAGCAAGGUCGUGUAAUUCUGAUUAGACAGAUCUUGAAUAGAUUGUCUAAGCGAUUUCUAAUAAAAGGCAAAAGGUUUUUGCAAUU